AGCUGCGGAGCCGGCGCUUAACCCCUGCGACCUUGCAGAGGUCAGGCUGGAGCGUAAAGGGUGGGUCAUUGCUAGUGAUUGGUGAUGGUUGGAUGUGAAGAAAUACACUAUAAUGCUUUGCCGUUUCUGGAGCGUCUUCGUACUGAGGAUCAGAUACGCAGUUUGGAAGUGAGGAACUUAUACCGCGUUCCUAACUCAAUUUAUAUGUAAAUGUAUUGUAGCAGAAACAACUGCCAUAAGGAAUGAUGGACUAAACUUGUGCUGGUGAAGAUGGAAGCACAUAAACUCACAAGAUUUACACUCAGGUAUUGGGAAUGAAGCUGAAUCAGGAAGCCAGCAGACAGAAGACUUCACAGAAGAGGGGGUGUUUGACUUCAGCACUGAGAGCAAAGGAUAACAUCAAGCCUUAAAAUCUGGAAAGAACGUACCUCACAGAUUUUUCAUUUUACUAAGCGCUUCAGUGAUGAAACAGUUCUUCCUAAAACACGCCUUCAGAGACCUGUCUUUGAGACAAUAUGUGAUAAUUCUUUUAAAAAAAAACUUGACCCCCCAGCUCAAUGAGACAGCUCUGUUUAAGAUGGCCUUGCAGAGCCUUAGAAAAGCUCUGGGAAAUGGCCAGACACAUCACCUUGGAAUUCAUGUCGAGGGUUUGGAAUUUAACCUGAGAAGGGUAGGCGCCAUAGGGGGACUUCAAUGAGCAGCGAGGUAAAGAUCUGAGGUAUGUUUAAAUGGAUGAUUCUGUGUGGGGAAGAGAUUACAGAGAGUCAAGUGUGGAGGCAGAGAGAUGGCAAUGAUGGUUUGUGCCAAGAUGGAGAUGGGGAGACAGGGCGAGCUUGGUCCUAUAUAUUGAAGACCAAGUUGACAAGAUUUGCAGAUGGGAUGUAAGCAAAGAGGCAUAGAAGUUGACUACUUUUUUUUUUUUUUUUUUUUUUUUUGGCCUAAACAACUGGGCAAUCAUGAUGGCAUCUAGUGAGAGGGAAUUUGAGAGCGGAGAAAGUUGGAGAUCAGGUUAUGGCAUUGUGUUUGAUUCUGGACAUGCUAAAUCAAAUAUCUAAGCAUUGAUAUCAAGUAGGCAGUCUGGAGUUUGGGGGAGAUGUUGGUACUAACAUAUAGAUUGGGAGCUGUGUAGAGGUAUUUAAAGCCAUGAGACUGGGUAUGAUCUCUUAGGAAGCGAGACAGCAAAGAGAAAAGUUUCUAUGAUUGAGCCCUAGAUCCUCCAGCAUUUAAUCGUCGAAAAAAGAGGUGGCUCCAGCAGAAGAAUAUGAGAAGGGGUGGCCAGGAAGGAGGAGUAAAAUCAGAGGGUGGAAUCCUUGAAGCAAAGUGAAGAAAGUGUUUCAAGAAAGAGGAAGUGCUCAAUUACGUCAGAUGCUACUGACAGUCAGUGAAGCUUUGGUGACCUGGGUCAUGACGCUAAAUGCAAUUGCUUACUGAGUGAUGCGCUGGCACUGGGUUUUAUACCAGAUGAAAACUGAGUUAAUCAUGGGAAAAAUCAGGCAGAGUUCAGGGUGUGCUGGGUUUUAAAUAGCUGGUUUCAGAUCCCAUCCAGAGAGCUCCAGAGAGGGCUGUGAACCAUCAUGCCAACAGAUACACAGAAACAAACCAGUGGGAAUCAGCUGAAGAUCGCUGUAGUCCUGACUCCUGCCACAUCCUUCUCUGAUGAGAAGACUGUGGGCAUAGAGAGGGUAAGUGCCACGCUCACUGUGGAGAGCCAGAAUUCAGGCACUCUCUAGUCCCGUGACCGCUGGUUUUUGAGAUGAAGUAUCUCACACAGUACUUGUGGGACAUACGGCAGUUAUUAAAUGCUGGGCGUCUCCUAGUUUCUGAGAUGGUACACCAGGGAAAUCCUUCAAAAACGUUACCGGAAGUGCGUUUUUGGCCCUACAAUGACAGCGAUGAGAUGAGACCCCC